CAUCAACGCCACGGGCUGCGCUCCCUUCGGGGAAGGGGCCGGGCCCAUCCGGUUGGCCGGGCUGAGCUGUCGGGGGCGGAGCCGCCUGUGUGGCAGUGCCGUUCCCCCGGCUGCAAGCACGAGGACGACGCGAGCGUGGCCUGCGACGUUUUCUCCAGAGGACAGAAUAUCGUCCACCGGAUAUGAUACCAGAUGAACUCCAGCUCAAAGCCAGAUGGCCUGAAUGCCCUCAUUUCCUUAGUGUGGCCUGUAAGAAACCAAGAAAACCAAGAAAACCCAGCUCAUUCCCGGCCAACCAAGGUCCUGUGUCCAAGCCCGACAGACACACGGACACACCGUGG